UAUAGUGCUGUGUUUUGGAUUUAGGAUGAGAAUCAUGUUGAUAACACACUGAUGUUUUCAGUUCUUGCUAAGCAGCGUUUAUAGUAAAUCAAGGACUUCUCAGCUUCUCAUACUGCCCUGCCAGCAGAGGCUGGGGGUGCACAAGAAGUUGGGAGGGGACACAGCUGGGACAGCUGACCCCAACUGACCAAAGGGAUAUUCCAGACCAUAUGACGUCAUGCUGAGCAUAUAAAGCUGGGGGAAGAAGAAGGAAGGAGGGACGUUCGGAGUGAUGGCGUUCGUCUUCCCAAGUAACCGUUAACACAUGAUGGAGCCCCGCUUUCCUGGAGAUGGCUGAACACCUGCCUGCCAAUGGGAAGUGGUGAAUGAAUUCCUUGUUUUGCUUUGCUUGCGUGCGCGGCUUUUGCUUUACUUCUUAAACUCUUUAUCUCAACCCACAAGUUUUACUUUUUUGUCUGAUUCUCUCCCCCAUCCCACUGGCGGCGGGGCGAGCGAGGAGUGAGUGAGCGGCUCUGUGGUGCUUAGUUGCUGGCUGGGGUUAAAACACAACAGUGUAAAAGGGACCAUGCUAUUGAGGCAUUAUGAAGUUAGUCAGUAUGUAUCCAUCUGCUAGGUAUAAUUUGAGGUUGCACACAUCAUCAGCAAGGCAUGAAUAUGAGGAAGGCUAUAGCCUGACAUUUUAGUUGUUAACUGAAUACAUUUAACCCAGAAGUCAUUGAAGGACAGCAGAUACUGUCCCAGGGUACCUUCCUAACAAUUGCUUCUUAGUGUAGAACAGCAUUUUAUGUGGUUUAUGAUGUUAGUGGAUAUAUAUGCUGCUGCUCCAAAUGUUUCCUCCUUCUGUACUGUUGACUUCACUGCCGAUAACUUAUUAACCAGAGCUGUAAACAGUUUGAUUUCAAGGAUUUUAUGACUUAUAGGAAAAGCUGACAAACAAUAAAAAGGCUAAAAAAUGAUCUGAGCAAAAAGAGAGCCUGAAGGCCAGAGGCUUUCCCUGAAAAGCCGCUGGACAGCUUGUCCCACACUCCUCCAAAGCAGUGUCAGCAGUAACUCCUUGCCUGCCAAGUCCCCUGUGCUGUGCUGGGUACUGCCUUCUGGCCCCAUGACCCAAGGUCUAACACAGCCAUGGAUGGUCCCCUCUCAAAUGCAGAUGUGCAAAACAUGGUGAUUCCAUCUUGCGUGUUCAGCCCACCUAUUUUCAGUGGAAACAACUAUGAAUUGCCCGAGAACUCCCUGCCCUUUCAGCAUGCACAGGUACAAAACAAAUCAGUCAAAAGGUGUAGCUAGGAAAAAGAGGCUGAUUAGUAUCAUCAUUUUCCAGCAGAUCACACUAAAAACCACACAGUUGGAGGAAACAGAACACAUCUGUGAUAGCACAAGCCAGCCCUCGCCAUGGGACCCAAACCACUUGCACCCUUUCCUCUGCAAGAUUGCUCCUACCAGCAUGGGAGUUUCAACGCUCGCAUUACUAAGUAGCAGGUGAUGUAUAAGUAAAGCUAGAGGCAAUGAAGAAUGGAUAAUCAUGCACUACAAUGCAGCUUAGAAAGAUAUUCAGCCUCUGCAAAUGUCUCAAAGACAAACUGUGCAUUACUGAGACUCCAGCUGGCAGACUGGUUGAAGUCUGAAGAGCCACCAGUACUCUGCGCUUGCUCCUCCAUAUCUGGUGAAAGAGGAAUUGGAAGCCUCUACAGCGAUGCGAUUUUGGGACCCAGCACAAGGACACGCAUCCCUGUUUCUUGAUGAGAACAAUGUUGAGACUGACCACGUGAUUGAAACUGCAUCAAGCUUCAAGAUCAAAGAACAAGGACAAGAAUAAAGACUUCGAGGACAGCCAACAAGAACCUCAAAUGGGUCGGUGGUCGCAAAAGCAGCCCUUCGACUCAAAUGGAUCCUUCAUUGCACAUGAUCGGAUGUAGGCAGUACUAUGAUAAUCAGUUAUAACCAUUUUUAUGUCUACGUAUACUAAUCUGAUUAAUAUGCAAUCAGUUAUUCACUAUAACCUGUUUGUGCUAAAGCUGUGGUAUGCGCCCUAGGUGGAACUAUCCCCCGUGCAUCCAGCGCUGCAAUAAAGAAUGCCGGCUUU